rnacentral:lncRNA from 1 species
UACUUUUUACACUCCACGUCAUCUUCUCUCUCUUCCACCUAAUAAUUCAACAUCCAUUCAACUUUUACUCACUACAAUGGUUUUGUUUAAUAAAAUUCAACACCCUAUCCCACCACUUUUAUAAUUCAUAUUCUUAUUUUUUUAUGUUUUUGUUUUUGUGAUUAUAUAUUAAUAACAAUUAUCAAUUGAAAUUAAAUUAAAAUAAUUUAUUUUAUUUUAUUUUCUAAUUUAAUAACUUAUUUGAAUUUUAUUUUUCUAAUUUUAUAUUUUUAGUUAAUUUUUU